rnacentral:rRNA from 1 species
UACGUAGGGCGCAAGCGUUAUCCGGAAUUACUGGGCGUAAAGGGCGCGUAGGCGGCCUUCUAAGUCAGACGUGAAAUCCCCAGGCUUAACUUGGGAACUGCGUCUGAUACUGGGAGGCUUGAGUGCGGGAGAGGGAUGUGGAAUUCCAGGUGUAGCGGUGAAAUGCGUAGAUAUCUGGAGGAACACCGGUGGCGAAGGCGGCAUCCUGGACCGACACUGACGCUGAGGCGCGAAAGCUAGGGGAGCAAACGGG